rnacentral:rRNA from 1 species
UCCGGUUGAUCCUGCCGGACCCUACUGCUAUCGGGAUGGGACUAAGACAUGCUAGUCGUGCGCUUCUAAGCCAUGGUGGAGGCGCGGCGCACAGCUCAGUAACACGUGGUUAACCUGCCCUUGGGACGGAAACACCCCCGGGAAACUGGGGCUAAUUUCCGAUAGGUGAAGAACCCUGGAAUGAGUCUUCACCCAAAAGACGCCUAGGCCACGCUUCUAGGCGCCGCCCAAGGAUGGGGCCGCGACCGAUCAGGUUGUUGGUGAGGUAACGGCCUACCAAGCCUUUUACCGGUACGGGCCGUGAGAGCGGGAGCCCGGAGAUGGGCACUGAGACAAGGGCCCAGGUCCUACGGGGCGCAGCAGUCGCGCAAACUUUGCAAUACACGAAAGUGUGACAGGGCUAUCCCGAGUGCCGUCCGCUGAGGGUGGCUUUUACCCAGUCUAGAAAGCUGGGAGAAUAAGGAGAGGGCAAGUCUGGUGUCAGCCGCCGCGGUAAUACCAGCUCUCCGAGUGGUGUGGAUGUUUAUUGGGCCUAAAGCAUCCGUAGCUUGCUGAUCAAGUCCCCUGUUAAACCCAACGAAUCAAUCGUUGGAUUGCGGGGGAUACUGUUCGGCUAGGGGA